AGCAGGCUUGAAUGGAUAAAGAGAGAGAGAGAGAGAGAGAGAGAGAGAGAGAGAGAGAGAGAGAGAGAUGUACUGUAAUUAAAAUAACAAACCAAUGUACCAACUGUUAUCUACCAUUUUAGUGAUCAGGGUGGGAACCAGAGGGAUUCUCCAUGGCAUUGUUUACACCUGCGACCAGAUGAUUGCCCUGAGGCACCCGAGCAUCCUGACUGGACACCCUCCAUACCGGAGGAGCUGAGGAGACGGCGAGGCUGCAGAGUGGGGGUUAAACGGAGGAUGAAGAAGAGGAGGUUUAAACUCUUCAUCCCUGCAGUCAUCACUGGAAACAAACGUGGCUACACGAGCAGACGUCACCAUGCCCGGCUCCCAGACGGUUCGAGCCGACUGUUUUUUAUAUCUGUAGCCUAUUUAUUUCACUCAAAUGUUGCCGUGACAAGUGAAUUUCCCCAUUGUGGGAUUAAUAAAGUUAUAUAUCUAG